GAUGAACGCUGGCGGCGUGCUUAACACAUGCAAGUCGAACGAGAAAUGUAGACGGAAACCUUCGGGCGGAAGCCUUCAUUUCGAGUGGCGGCCGGGUGAGUAACGCGUGGGUAACCUGCCUCAUACAGGGGGAUAACAGUUGGAAACGACUGUUAAUACCGCAUAAGACCACAGCAUCGCAUGAUGCGGGGGUAAAAACUCCGGUGGUAUGAGAUGGACCCGCGUUCGAUUAGCCAGUUGGCGGGGUAACGGCCCACCAAAGCGACGAUCGAUAGCCGAUCUGAGAGGAUGACCGGACACAUUGGGACUGAGACACGGCCCAAACUCCUACGGGAGGCAGCAGUGGGGAAUAUUGCACAAUGGGGGAAACCCUGAUGCAGCGACGCCGCGUGAGUGAAGAAGUACUUCGGUAUGUAAAGCUCUAUCAGCAGGGAAGAAAAUGACGGUACCUGAGUAAGAAGCCCCGGCUAACUACGUG
rnacentral:rRNA from 1 species